rfam:Gossypium hirsutum cultivar TM-1 chromosome 15, whole genome shotgun sequence
GGAGAGAUAGUUGAGUGGUUGAUAGCUCUGGUCUUGAAAACUGGUAUAGUUCGAAACAAAUAGCUAUUGAGGGUUCGAAUACCUCUCUCUUCU